CCUUGUACACACCGCCCGUCACACCAUGGGAGUGGAUUUUACCAGAAGUAGGUAGUCUAACCGCAAGGAGGACGCUUACCACGGUAGUAUUCAUGACUGGGGUG
rnacentral:rRNA from 1 species